rnacentral:rRNA from 1 species
UACGUAGGGUGCAAGCGUUAAUCGGAAUUACUGGGCGUAAAGCGUGCGCAGGCGGUUAUUCAAGACAGAUGUGAAAUCCCCGGGCUCAACCUGGGAACUGCAUUUGUGACUGCAUGGCUAGAGUGCGGCAGAGGGGGAUGGAAUUCCGCGUGUAGCAGUGAAAUGCGUAGAUAUGCGGAGGAACACCGAUGGCGAAGGCAAUCCCCUGGGCCUGCACUGACGCUCAUGCACGAAAGCGUGGGGAGCAAACAGG